rnacentral:rRNA from 1 species
AACGCGAAGAACCUUACCAGGGCUUGACAUGGGGAGGACGCAGCCAGAGAUGGCUGUUCCCGCAAGGGCCUCCCGCACAGGUGCUGCAUGGCUGUCGUCAGCUCGUGUCGUGAGAUGUUGGGUUAAGUCCCGCAACGAGCGCAACCCUCGCCUUCAGUUGCCAUCGGGUUUGGCUGGGCACUCUGAAGGAACUGCCGGUGACAAGCCGGAGGAAGGUGGGGAUGACGUCAAGUCCUCAUGGCCCUUAUGUCCUGGGCUACACACGUGCUACAAUGGCGGUGACAGCGGGAAGCCAGGCAGCGAUGCCGAGCUGAUCCCAAAAAGCCGUCUCAGUUCAGAUUGCACUCUGCAACUCGGGUGCAUGAAGGUGGAAUCGCUAGUAAUCGCGGAUCAGCACGCCGCGGUGAAUACGUUCCCGGGCCUUGUA